UACGAAGGGGGCUAGCGUUGUUCGGAAUCACUGGGCGUAAAGCGCACGUAGGCGGAUCUUUAAGUCAGAGGUGAAAUCCCAAGGCUCAACCUUGGAACUGCCUUUGAUACUGGAGAUCUUGAGUCCGGGAGAGGUGAGUGGAACUGCGAGUGUAGAGGUGAAAUUCGUAGAUAUUCGCAAGAACACCAGUGGCGAAGGCGGCUCACUGGCCCGGUACUGACGCUGAGGUGCGAAAGCGUGGGGAGCAAACAGGAUUAGAAACCCUUGUAGU
rnacentral:rRNA from 1 species